ensembl:lncRNA
AAACAUCACUUGCUCUAUGUCCUGUCUCUCUGUCUAACCCUGAGCCACCCAAUUCUGCUUUUUCUAGGAGUUCUGAAAACACUAAAUAAUACUGUUUCAGUAUGUUAGCUAACAGAAUGUACAGAUAUCUUAAAAAUCAGAAAUCAGAUAGGAUGUUUUCAAGUGGGGCUUUAGAAGGAAGGUUUCAAUGCUGGCAAUUAAGUUACAGGCCCCGAAUGGGGAAGGUGUGAGGUCCCGCACCUUUUCCCUAUUUUCCAGCUCAGGGUCAAUCUAGUCUUUCUCACGCACUUCCUGUCAAUAUUACUAAAUGAUUGCCCUCACUUCAGAAGUCAAUGGCAAGUUACCCACACUUCUUUCUGACUUGGCUGUGAAUUAGGGCUUCCCACAACCCCCUCUUCAGGAGCAUGCUUGUCUGGCUGCCCAUCACAUGGAGGUCUCAAAGCAACGGAGCUCCGUUCCCGUCACCUCUCCAGAGUCUCCAUGUCCCUCCUCCACAGCCGAGCGGUCACAGGGCUGGCCUCAGGGAGCCACACAGCCCUGGGUUUCCUGGACAGCUGUGAAGAAGGAGCUCAUCAGGCUUCACAGCCAGGACCCUGGGGGAGCUGUUACGAGCACACCCAAGAACAAGCUCUCUCAGCAAUUUUCACUUACAGCAGCAAGGAGUCAGUUGGGAAAACACAUCUUCUUGGAAGGAGUUCUCAGCUUCUGAUUCCUCUCUUCUCAGCCCUUCACACACUCCCUGUCACAGUAAGAUAUUUCAAAAGCCAACCAAGAGGAUAUGGAGUCUGGAAUCUUGCUCAAACAAUCCUAGAAGGUGCCAGAAGCUUCUUUCUCCAAGAGGCCGCCACUUUGACUGCAGCCCCAAAUGAAUCUUCCUCAGAACUGUUUGUGAAAGUGGUUGCCGGCUGCCUGCUCCGGCCCCCCUUCUACAGCCGUGCCUCUCACCCCAUGCCCGCAGCCACAGCAGGCCGCUGCAGUACCGUUCCAGCACCCAGCUCGUGGGUCUCCAUGCCCUUGUGCAUGGUCUUCUUUCAGCCCGGGGUCCAGCUCCGGCCCUUACUGAGCCUUCAGAUCUCAGCUUAUGCCUCGGCUCCUCCAAAAGGUGGGCUGCCCUCAUCUCCUCCUCUCAGAAGGUCCCCUUUCCCCUAAAGUGGCAAGUCAAUGACAAAACCCCAGUGAGGCUCUCUCCCUACAUUUUGCCUCAUAGUGCAUAUUCUUCAUAUGACUAAAAUACCAUUUAAAGAGUGUCUGCUGUGUGCUAGACUGCUCAAUGCUGUACACAUAUGAUCUCCUUUAUUAUUCACCAGCAAAGUUUUAAGAGUGAUAUUCUAUCCCCAUUUAUGAAUCAAGAAGCUGAGAGUCCGGGAGAUUAAGUCCGUUGUCUGAGAUCUCAGACUCUUGAGAGAGUGGGGCCAGCACUCCUAACCAGUCGCUCUCGGCACCUGGAGUCCUCGAGGCGCCUUCAGCCAUCAUGUUCCACCUGCUGAAUGGAAUUUCCUUCCAGGGCCUGUCCCUAGGGCGUUGCCCCCACAGGGAGACUAGAGGUUCAGUCCAGACUUUCCUGGCCCCACCCUGAGCCACCCGCAGCCACCCUGAGGUAGGGGAGUUACUUCGCCUCUGUCCGUACAGGUUUUAUAAAUGUUCUAAACAACAAGGGGAAAAAGCAGCCAGUUCUUCCUCCACCUGCAUCCCAAAGCGGGAAGCCGCUGUUCAUGAGGCCUUCCUUGCACGAUGGACACUACCCGGAGCCGAGCUCUGGGCCCGCCCCCACCCUGGGCCGCCUCCUUCCUCCCAAGGAACGAUGCGGUGCGGUUCCCUGGGAGGGAAGGCUGCUGAAGAAAAUCAGGUUGACAUUCCUCCUGCGGCCUGCCAGAGACUCACGGCCUGAAGGAAGGAGGCGUUGCUGUGAUGGUGCAAAGGUGAUGGCGCGUGAAGUGCUGGCUCAGAGAGCCCACACUGCUCUAGUGGCCGUCAUGUUCUUCACUGCCCUGCGCUCACAGUUGAAAAAACAAGAGCCAGUUUCACUUACGAAUGUCCUAGAUGAAGCAGUAGAAAUUACUCAUUCGAUUAAAUCUCAGCCUUUAAAUAAGUGGCUUUUUAAUAUUCUGCGUGAGGAACUGGGAGGUAAUCCUAAAGCCCUUGGAUACGUACAAAAAUACCAUGGUUGUCUGAAGAAACUGAAGACGCUGUGUGACUGAGUUGCAGGCUGAAUUAGCUGCGUUUUCAUGGAACGUCAUUUUUACUUGAAAAGAACAACUGACAAGCAAGGGAUGGUUAUUCUGACUUGGAUGUUUGGCAAACAUGUCCACAAAAAUGAACAAAGGGAGCCUGUUACUUCAAGGAAAGCAACUGACGGUAUUUGUUGCCAGUGGUAAGAGCUGAGUUUUCAAGUGAGAAAUUAGAAUUUGGACAACUUGUUUCUGCCACUUUCAGCAUGAUGGCCUCCUGGUACUUAAAGACUGAGGAGAUGUGGUUAAAGAUUAAUGAGUGUGGUUUUUUUUUUUAAUACUGUCUGAUGAAACAUGUCAACAUUUGGAAGCCUGUACAACUCGGCGAACCAAUAUUUUAUGAACAACAAACGCAUUAUGUUGCAAAAUCGUGCGUGGAUAAAAGAUCCAUUCAAAGUACAAGAUAGAACAAUGGAUUUUAAUGUAACGGAGUAUAAAAAGUUUAUUGAUAUGGAUUCAGAUUCCACACUGCAACUCUUUAAGAAACUACCAUUUAUUGAGGAUUUAAAUAAUGUUGAAGAAUAUCCACAAUUAUCUGAAAACAUCUGUUAAAAUAUUCCUCUCUUUUUAAACUACGUUGUCUCUGUGAAGCCAACUAUUCUUUAAAUACUUCAACCAGACCAACGUAUCACAAUGAAUUGAAUGCAGAACAGUAUGAGAAUCUGGCUGUAAAGGCAAAACAGUGUCACUCUUCUCAUUAAAUUUUUUUUGUUUGAAAUAUUCAAUUAUUUUUCAUAGAAAUAUUUAUGUUAACAUGGAAUAAAUAAUUAUUUUAAAUUCCUUAUAGAUGUUUUUGAACUUUAUCAGUUUUAAUUUCCAAUAUAGUAAAUGUUGAUAGAUAUAACCCACAUAAUUUGAAGCUCUUUGGGUUCUUUGAUAAUUUUAAGAACAUAAAGAAGUCCUGAGACCAAAAAGUUUGACGAUGGCUGCUGUAGAUAAUGGGCUUUUAGACCUGAAGGCGAUUGCCGUGCUUGACCCUGCUUUGGCGAGAACAGGCAGCUCAGGGAUCAAAGAUCCACUGUACAAAUUAUCUGUGUCCCAGUGUCUGGCAAAAUCUCCUCAAUACCCACCACACGCACACUCCUGAUUCUGUCUGCCCUGGGAAACCAGAUAAGCAGGUUUGUUAAAAUUAAGUAUAAAUUUGAGUCAAUAGGCUCUGAAUGGGGAAGAGAGCAAAGGCCCUCGAGUUUCUUUUGUUUGGGUCUUCUCAUUUAAUACCUGUGUAGGAAACUCAGAAGCCCUGUUUUAUGAACUUACACAUUCCCAGUGUUUUCUCGGAAAAUGUUUUCUAUAGCUCUGCUACUCAGAGUAGUGGUGCAUGAACCGGCAGCAUCAGCAUCUUCUGUAGCUUGUUAAAGAUGCAAAUUCAUGAUCCCCACCCCAGCCUACUAAGUCAAAACAUACAUUUUAAGAAGAUCCUCAGGCAGUUGGUACACACAUUAAAGUUUGUGAAGCACUGCUCUAGGAUAAACGUUUUAGAAUCUAAAGUCUACAAUUAAAAAGGACUUCUAAUUUCCAGAAUGGUUGGCAGGUUGUUUAGAUGAAUUCUCCUAAUGAAAGAAGCUAAAAAACAUGGGUAAGAUGUAUCUUCACGAAAGCAUUAAAGAGAUUUCAAGACAGAAAGAAACCACCACACACAAAAUGAAGAGAACAUUCAUUCAGAGAGGUAAGCCUGAAUUAAGGAUGUUUCUGUUCUGAGGUCAUUUACUAAACCCAAAAAAUUAGAACCCAGGUUUUGACCGAUUCUUGAGAUGAGAGAUACAGAAUCAAAAUUUGGAAGUGGAAAAUCUCCUGGGUCAGAAUCUCUCAAGCCUUGAACUUGGUAAUGUUCCCAGGUGCCUGGAAAAACAAGUGGAAAUCCCCUCAGAGGAAGGUAUCUUUAGCAGAGAUGGCAAAUUAUUUCCACAAGUAGUUUUUACAAUAUGAUGACCAGAACAGUCCUAGGCUCUAUGAGCGAGAACCAGACUCCGUGAGCUACUCUCAGACUAGAAGACAACUCUGCGGACUACAUUUAACAAAAUAAAGGCAGGCUUGAAAAUAUCUUCAGGGAAUAGGAAUCUAUCAAAAGUUACAGAGUCAAUUUGAAAAAGAACCUAAUGUAACUAGUAGAAAUACAAAUAUUCAAUAAUUGAUAUAAAAACUAAAAGGAUGAGUUCCACUGCAGACUAUACAUAGCUGAAGAGAGUAUGUGUGAAUUGUAAGAUAGGUUAGAAGAAAUUUUCCAGAGUGCAACAUGGAGGGACAAAAGGAUGGAAAAUUCAGGUAGAAAAGGCAAGAGACAAAGAGUGAAAAUGUCCUAUAUACUUGUAUAAUCCUGUAUAGAUAACUAUAUAUCCUAUAAACAUAUAUAUCGUAUAUGUCCUAUAGUCUUAUAUAUAUAUCACUAUAUAUAUAGUUCUCUCUAUAUAAAAUUUUAUAAAUUUAUAUAUAUAUGUAAUUGGAAUCCUAGAAAGAGAAAAGUACGAGAAUGUUGCAGAGACGAUAUUUGAAGAUAAUGGUUGAGAAUUUUCCAGAACUAAUAAAAGACACCAAUCCACAAACUUUAGAAUCACAAUGGAUUCCUUGCUGAUAAAUAAAAUGAAAUGUACACUUAGAUAUAUCAUUGUGAAACUUCAGAAAAAUCACCCCAAGUGACCAUCUUAAAAGCAGCUGGAGGGAAAAGUCAUGUGAGCAACGCAGUAGGACUGAGAGCUGACUGCUCAAAGCAACAGUAGAAGACAGAAGACAAUAGAAUUCAAUCUGCUGAAAAAUACUUGCUGACUUUGAGUCUUACACUCAACAAAAAUAUCUUUCAAGAAUAAAGACAAAAUAAAGACAGUUUCAUAUAAGGAUGGUUGACAGAAUCCAUCACACAAAACCAUAUACUAAUGGAAAUUCCAAAGGAUGUACUUCAGGUAGAAGAAAGACAAUCCCAGUUGGAAAGACUGAAGUGCAAGAAGAAAUGAGGAACAAAUAAACUGGUAAAUGUCUGAAUAAAUUUAAGUGAAAACAGACUAUAUUAAGCUACGAUAAUAAUGUCCCCUAGGGUUUAAAAAUAGAAUUAAAAUACAACAACAAUUGCAUAUAAAUUGAGAGAGGAGUAAAUGGAAUUAAAGAGAAGGAGGAGGGCAAAAAUAUUGGUUAAUGUUAGACUUGGUUAAGCUAAGAGUGAAUGUUGUAAUUUCAAAGCUAAGCUCUAAGUAAAUUCAAACAGAAUAUGUAACUUCCAAAUGAAUAGAGGGGGAAAAGUAGAAUGUUAAAAAAGAGUCUACAGGAAGUCAAGAUAUGAGAGAAAAAGAAACAAAAUAGGCAGGACAAUUAGAAAGUAUAAGAUAAGAUGGCAGAUUUUUAAAACUUUUUAUUAUAGAACAUUUAAAUAAUGUAGAAGAUAAACAGAAAAGUAUAAUGGACCUCAUGCACCAUCAUUCUAACACUUAAUAAUCUAGUUUCAUUUCUCUCUCUCAUUUUUUUCCUAGAGUAUUUUAAAACAAAUCCUAGACAUCACAUCAUUUUAUUCAUAAAAAUUUAAAUAUGUAUCUUUAUCAGAUAAGGACUUUAAAAAUAUAGCACCACAAUGCUAUUAUCACAAAGAUUGGUAUAGUUCAACAGAAAUAUAUCAGAAAUUACGUUAAAUGUAAAUGGAUUAAAUAAUCUUGUGAAAGACAAAGAUUUUGUGACUGGGUAAGAAACAAA